CUGGCCAAGCCGACUCCUUUCCCGUUCCCUGAUCCGAUCCGGCUGUUUCGCCCUGUCGCGUCUCGCUCGCAGCCUCUUCACGUCUCCUUGGACAGGUAACCCCAGCUGCAGACAUGAUUGGAGACAGUGUUUGAGGCCUUCAGGAACAAACAGGCUGGCAGAAAAGAGAAGCCACUGCCAGCAUAGAGCGGGUAGCAGAUGCUGGAGCUGAGCAGCUGACUUCUGAAUGCCGCCGUGGUCCUUUCGCUAGAACAGGGUCUUGGAUAGAACUGGAGCUCCGUUGACUCCAGGAGUCCCUGCUUCAGCCCUGGGAGAUUUGGAGUGCUCAGCCCAGGCAGCUCCCUGUACCCCCACCCUGGAGGGCCCAGAUACCCAACUGAGGCUGGACAGGACAGAAUUCUUACAAUCUAUCACUCCU